CGCGUAGGCGGAGCGCUAAGCGGGACCUCUAACCCGAGGGCUCAACCCCCGGCCGGGUCCCGAACUGGCGCUCUCGAGUGCGGUAGGGGAGAGCGGAAUUCCCGGUGUAGCGGUGGAAUGCGCAGAUAUCGGGAAGAACACCGACGGCGAAGGCGGCUCUCUGGACUGUAACUGACACUGAGGCACGAAAGCGUGGGGAGCAAACA
rnacentral:rRNA from 1 species